GAUGAACGCUGGCGGCGUGCCUAAUACAUGCAAGUCGAACGCUGGAAAUCUAGCUUGCUAGAUUGAAGGAGUGGCGAACGGGUGAGUAAUACAUAAGCAACCUACCCACGAAGACUGGGAUAAUCUCUGGAAACGGGGACUAAUACCGGAUAGGUAAUCGGAAGGCAUCUUCUGAUUAUUAAAGGUUAAAAACACUGGUGGAUGGGCUUAUGGCGCAUUAGUUAGUUGGUGAGGUAACGGCCCACCAAGACGAUGAUGCGUAGCCGGCCUGAGAGGGUGAACGGCCACAUUGGGACUGGGACACGGCCCAGACUCCUACGGGAGGCAGCAGUAGGGAAUUUUCGGCAAUGGGGGAAACCCUGACCGAGCAACGCCGCGUGAGUGAUGACGGCCUUCGGGUUGUAAAGCUCUGUUGUAAGGGAAGAACGGUAGAUAGAGAAUAUCUAAAUGACGGUACCUUACCAGAAAGCCACGGCUAACUACGUG
rnacentral:rRNA from 1 species